GCUGGCGGCAUGCUUUACACAUGCAAGUCGAGCGGCAGCGCGGGGGCAACCCUGGCGGCGAGCGGCGAACGGGUGAGGAAUUCAUCGGAACGUACCCCGGAGUGGGGGAUAACGCCGCUAAAGCGGCGCUAAUACCGCAUAUGCUCUGUGGAGGAAAGUGGGGGACCCGCAAGGGCCUCACGCUCUGGGCGCGGCCGAUGUCCGAUUAGCUAGUUGGUGAGGUAAUGGCUCACCAAGGCGACGAUCGGUAGCUGGUCUGAGAGGAUGAUCAGCCACACUGGGACUGAGACACGGCCCAGACUCCUACGGGAGGCAGCAGUGGGGAAUUUUGGACAAUGGGGGCAACCCUGAUCCAGCCAUGCCGCGUGCGGGAAGAAGGCCUUCGGGUUGUAAACCGCUUUUAGUCGGGAAGAAAAGGUCACCUUGAAUACGGGUGACUGUUGACGGUACCGGCGGAAUAAGCACCGGCUAACUACGUGCCAGCAGCCGCGGUAAUACGUAGGGUGCGAGCGUUAAUCGGAAUUACUGGGCGUAAAGCGUGCGUAGGCGGUUCGUUAAGUUCGUCGUGAAAGCCCCGGGCUCAACCUGGGAAUUGCGAUGGAGACUGCAAGGCUAGAAUCUGGCAGAGGGGGGUAGAAUUCCACGUGUAGCAGUGAAAUGCGUAGAGAUGUGGAGGAACACCGAUGGCGAAGGCAGCCCCCUGGGUCAAGAUUGACGCUCAUGCACGAAA
rnacentral:rRNA from 1 species